rnacentral:rRNA from 1 species
CCAGACUCCUACGGGAGGCAGCAGUGGGGGAUAUUGCACAAUGGGGGGAACCCUGAUGCAGCGACGCCGCGUGGGUGAGGAAGUACCCCGGUAUGUAAAGCCCUUUCGGCAGGGAAGAAAAUGACGGUACCUGGCGAAGAAGCCCCGGCUAACUACGUGCCAGCAGCCGCGGUAAUACGUAGGGGGCAAGCGUUAUCCGGAUUUACUGGGUGUAAAGGGGGCGCAGACGGCGAUGCAAGCCAGGAGUGAAAGCCCGGGGCCCAACCCCGGGACUGCUCUUGGAACUGCGUGGCUAGAGUGCAGGAGGGGCAGGCGGAAUUCCUGGUGUAGCGGUGAAAUGCGUAGAUAUCAGGAGGAACACCGGUGGCGAAGGCGGCCUGCUGGACUGCAACUGACGUUGAGGCCCGAAAGCGUGGGGAGCAAACAGGAUUAGAUACCCGAGUAC